CAAACCAAAGCUGGCGACCGGCGCACGGGUGAGUAACACGUAUCCAACCUGCCUCAUACUCGGGGAUAGCCUUUCGAAAGAAAGGUUAAUAUCCGAUAGCAUAUAUUUCCCGCAUGGGUUUUAUAUUAAAGAAAUUCGGUAUGAGAUGGGGAUGCGUUCCAUUAGUUUGUUGGGGGGUAACGGCCCACCAAGACUACGAUGGAUAGGGGUUCUGAGAGGAAGGUCCCCCACAUUGGAACUGAGACACGGUCCAA
rnacentral:rRNA from 1 species